AUUGAACGCUGGCGGCAUGCCUUACACAUGCAAGCCGAACGGCAGCACGGGUGCUUGCACCUGGUGGCGAGUGGCGAACGGGUGAGUAAUACAUCGGAACGUACCUUAUCGUGGGGGAUAACGCAGCGAAAGCUGUGCUAAUACCGCAUACGCCCUGAGGGGGAAAGCGGGGGAUCGAAAGACCUCGCGCGAUUAGAGCGGCCGAAGCCGGAUUAGCUUGUUUGUGGGGCAAAAGCCCACCAAGGCGACGUUCAGUAGCUGGUCUGAUAGGACGAUCAUCAACGCUGGAAAUGAGACACGUCCCCGACUCCUACGGGUGGCAGCAGUUGUGAAUUCUGGACAAUGGGGUCAACCCUGAUCCAGCAAUGCUGCGUGAGUGAAGAAGGCCUUAGGGUUGUAAAGCUCUUUUGUCAGGGAAGAAACACCGGCUCUAACACAGUCCGGGAAUGACGGUACCUGAAGAAUAAGCACCGGCUAACUACGUGCCAGCCGCCGCGGUAA
rnacentral:rRNA from 1 species